ACUGUUUUAAUAUAUUUAUUAUGUUAGCUUUUCGUGCUAAAUAAGGUGUUUAUGCACCAGACAGCG
rnacentral:tRNA from 2 species